UACGUAGGGUGCAAGCGUUAAUCGGAAUUACUGGGCGUAAAGCGUGCGCAGGCGGCUAUGCAAGACAGAUGUGAAAUCCCCGGGCUCAACCUGGGAACUGCAUUUGUGACUGCAUGGCUAGAGUACGGUAGAGGGGGAUGGAAUUCCGCGUGUAGCAGUGAAAUGCGUAGAUAUUGGGAAGAACACCCGUGGCGAAGGCGGCCAUCUGGACCGGUACUGACGCUAAGGCGCGACAGCGUGGGGAGCAAACAGG
rnacentral:rRNA from 1 species